rnacentral:rRNA from 1 species
AUUGAACGCUGGCGGCAGGCUUAACACAUGCAAGUCGAGCGAGCGGCGGACGGGUGAGUAAUGUCUGGGCAACUGCCUGAUGGAGGGGGAUAACUACUGGAAACGGUAGCUAAUACCGCAUACCAUCCUUUGUGCCCAGAUGGGAUUGGCUAGUAGGUGGGGUAAUGGCUCACCUGGGCGACGAUCCCUAGCUGGUCUGAGCGGAUGACCGGCCACACGGGAACUAGGACACGGUCCAGACUCCUACGGAGGGCAGCAGUGGGGAAUAUUGAACAAUGGGCACAAGCCUGAUGCAGCCAUGCCGCGUGUGUGAAGAAGGCCUUCGGGUUUAAAAGCACUUUCAGCGAGGAGGCGUUACUCGCAGAGGAAGCACCGGCUAACUCCGUGCCAGCAGCCGCGGUAAUAC